AAAAUGGUAAACUAUGGGUUUCCGUAUCCAACUUUGACUGUCCGUUUUAUAUGAAAUUUUUUUAUAAUUCGUAUUUUCAUUGUUGUUAGAUGAUAAAAUAUGAUUAAUAUUUUAUGCGCGACUUGUCUUUUUAAUUUUUUUUAUAAAUUUUUUAAAUAAAACGGACGGUCAAUAAAUAUUGGACACGGAAACAGGGUUUGUCUUUUU
rfam:Oryza rufipogon genomic scaffold, chr03